AUUGAACGCUGGCGGCAGGCCUAACACAUGCAAGUCGAACGAGCGGCGGACGGGUGCGUAAUGUCUUGUAACCUGCCCGAUGGAGGGGGAUAACUACUGGAAACGGUAGCUAAUACCGCGUACUAUCGGAUGUGCCCAGAUGGGAGUAGCUUGUAGGUGAGGUAACGGCUAAACUAGGCGCCUAUCCCUAGCUGGUCUGUGAGGAUGAGCAGACAAACGGGAACUGAGACACGGUCCAGACUCGUACGGGAGGCAGCAGUGGGGAAUAUUGCACAAUGGGCGCAAGCCUGAUGCAGCCAUGCCGCGUGUAUGAAGAAGGCCUUAGGGUUGUAAAGUACUUUAAGCGGGGAGGCGUUACCGACAGAAGAAGCACCGGCUAACUCCGUGCCAGCCGCCGCGGUAAUAC
rnacentral:rRNA from 1 species